AGCCCAUGGUGUGGAUAUUUUCGAAACAAAUCUAUAAACUUUUCCCAUGCUUCAUAUAAUGAUUCACCAUCCAAUUGACUGAAAGUAGUAAUAUCCAUUCUAAAUUU